CUCCAAUACUCAGAUACCAUUGAACACAUGCUUCGUUUGUGAGUCCGCCAGAUCUGAGGCAGUAGGGAUGACCAGGGUUGUUCUCUUCAUAAGUGUGUGAAUUUGACCAUUUUCCUGUCCUGCUAAGCAUUCAAAAUGUUAUGAGUACUUUUGGGUGUCAGGGAAAAUGUAUGGAGUAAAAAGUUAUUCAGUGAAGUAAAAGUUUUCCAAAAUAUAAAGUACAGGUUCCUACAAAAAACAACCAAAGUAGUACUUUACACCACUGCCAUGACCAAAGCACAUUUGCUAUUUAACGGAACAGUUGUGAUAAACCGGUAGUUGAAAUGCGAUGGAAACGUUACAUUUUUAUUCGGUGUGAAAGAGUACGUCAUAAGCGCCUGUCUGAGGGAAACACUACUGCUCUAAUUGGAUGGAAACUUAGCUAGUGACUCACUGUGGAAAAGAUGGAAACACCACUGCUCUAAUUGGAUGGAAACUUAGCUAGUGACUCACUGUGGAAAAGAUGGAAACACCACUGCUCUAAUUGGAUGGAAACUUAGCUAGUGACUCACUGUGGAAAAGAUGGAAACACCACUGCUCUAAUUGGAUGGAAACUUAGCUAGUGACUCACUGUGGAAAAGAUGGAAACACCACUGCUCUAAUUGGAUGGAAACUUAGCUAGUGACUCACUGUGGAAAAGAUGGUAACGAUUAAAAGUGUAAUCAUUGAUCGGGCUUGCAUAGAGCUCACCAGAUUGUAGUCCUAAAACCUGGAAAUUAUACUGAACAAAAAUAUAAACACAUGUAAAGUGUUGGUCCCAUGUUUCAUGAGCUGAAAAAAAAUAUCCCAAAAAUGUUCCAUAAGCACAAAAAGCUUAUUUCUUUAAAAUGUUGUGCACACACGUUUACCUCCCUGUUAGUGAGCAUUUCUCCUUUCCCAAGAUAAUCCAUCCACCUGACAGGUGUGGCAUAUCAAGAAGCUGAUUAAACAGAAUGAUCAUUGCACCUUGUGCUAGGGACAAUAAAAGGCUCCUCUAAAAUGUGUUAUUUUAUCACACAACACCACAGAUGU
rnacentral:lncRNA from 1 species